CCUAAGGGUGGCAGCAGUGGGGAAUAUUGGACAAUGGGCGAAAGCCUGAUCCAGCCAUGCCGCGUGUGUGAAGAAGGCCUUCGGGUUGUAAAGCACUUUCAGUGGGGAAGAAAGCCUUGGGGCUAAUACCCUCGAGGAAGGACAUCACCCACAGAAGAAGCACCGGCUAACUCCGUGCCAGCAGCCGCGGUAAUACGGAGGGUGCGAGCGUUAAUCGGAAUUACUGGGCGUAAAGCGCGCGUAGGCGGUCUGAUAAGCCGGUUGUGAAAGCCCCGGGCUCAACCUGGGAACGGCAUCCGGAACUGUCAGGCUAGAGUGCAGGAGAGGAAGGUAGAAUUCCCGGUGUAGCGGUGAAAUGCGUAGAGAUCGGGAGGAAUACCAGUGGCGAAGGCGGCCUUCUGGACUGACACUGACGCUGAGGUGCGAAAGCGUGGGUAGCAAACAGGAUUAGAUACCCGGGUAGUC
rnacentral:rRNA from 1 species